GCAGAGCAUCCUACGGGAGGCAGCAGUGGGGAAUAUUGCCCAAUGGGCGCAAGCCUGAUGCAGCCAUGCCGCGUGUAUGAAGAAGGCCUUCGGGUUGUAAAGUACUUUCAGCAGUGAGGAAGGUGGGUAUGUUAAUAGCAUAUUCAUUUGACGUUAGCUGCAGAAGAAGCACCGGCUAACUCCGUGCCAGCAGCCGCGGUAAUACGGAGGGUGCGAGCGUUAAUCGGAAUUACUGGGCGUAAAGCGCAUGCAGGUGGUUUGUUAAGUCAGAUGUGAAAGCCCGGGGCUCAACCUCGGAAUUGCAUUUGAAACUGGCAAACUAGAGUACUGUAGAGGGGGUAGAAUUUCAGGUGUAGCGGUGAAAUGCGUAGAGAUCUGAAGGAAUACCGGUGGCGAAGGCGGCCCCCUGGACAGAUACUGACACUCAGAUGCGAAAGCGUGGGGAGCAAACAGGAUUAGAUACCCUGGUAG
rnacentral:rRNA from 1 species